rnacentral:rRNA from 1 species
UACGUAGGUGGCAAGCGCUGUCCGGAUUUAUUGGGUUUAAAGGGUGCGUAGGCGGCCCUGUAAGUCAGUGCUGAAAUAUCCCAGCUUAACUGGGAGGGUGGCAUUGAUACUGCGGGGCUAGAGUACAGAUGAGGUAGGCGGAAUUGACGGUGUAGCGGUGAAAUGCUUAGAUAUCGUCAAGAACACCUAUAGCGAAGGCAGCUUACUAGGCUGUAACUGACGCUGAGGCACGAAAGUGUGGGGAUCAAACAGG